rnacentral:lncRNA from 1 species
CAAUGCCGCGGGGCGAGCAGAGGCUCUUGUUAUAACACGUGUAAUUUUUUUUUGAGCAAUUAUUAUUAUUAUUAUAAAAAAAUAGGAAACAUUUGUUCUGUUUUGAUCUGUUUGAACUUUAUUGUGAUUUAUAAAUUGUGCUUGUGUUGUAUUCAGUAUAAUAUGUAUAAUAUCAGAUAAAUGUUCUCUUUCCUGCAGGUGUGUGUGCUAAGGUUGAGAAGAGAACACAGUCAGAGCGCAGAGCUGCUGGAAGUUCCCUCAUUUUACCAGUUAAAUAUUCAAACGAUUCUUUCGUAGUCGCACAGUGGAGCUGUAAUGGAAAACUCUUUGCAUUAUACAAUGAUGGACAGAUGUCUGUUAAUACGAAACUGCCUUUCAGUAAAAGGCUAAUAGUGAACAGUGGUGAUCUCAGUAUAGAAGUGACGAAUCUUCAGCUCAACGACUCUGGAAAUUACACAAUUAUUACAGAAAAUUCUCACCAGGCCUUAAUAAAGACAAUCAGUCUGACCGUCUAUGAGCGAAUGAGUUUGACUCCAGGUUAUGUUCAGUCAGAGAGAAAGAGCACGGUGAGUCAGAAACUUCACUUCUUCCUUUCUUAUUUUACUAUGAGUUUGCCCUUCUGAAGUCUCUAUUGCUCCACCUGCCGCUCCCGGAUUCUUUUUUAGAGGCUGUACGUGUGACGUGGCCAGAAGAAGAACUCCCACGAAAAGCGACCGGACACCCCAGUUUUUACAAUGAAUGUAUAAGGUUUAGCAGGGAUGGUCGUUCCAGUACACUGGUACCAUUAAACACAAUGUAUUGCUUCUUCUUCUUUCACUUUAGAAACAAAAUAAUACGGACUGCCACCAUAAGGUGGAGAUUGAGAGACAGCUCUAUGUUCUCUACUGUAAUUACAUGUGUUUAGAUUAUAUAACCUUCUUCUGUAUUUACAGAUGUGAUUAAGGUGGAGAUUAAGAGUGAACAGACUUGGAAAGCAGCUCCAAACAGCUGUGAUGUUUCUCUUUUGUGUCGAGCGCCUGAAGACAGUGUCCUACAGAUGGAGCGGCUUUAAGGAGGAGGAUGGAGCUCAGCUGAACUUCACUCUCAAACCAGGAGAUGGAGACGUUACUCUGAACUGCACUGCAAUCGGCGGAUUUGUGCAAGGCUCAAACUCAAUCAGAGUGAAAUGUACAUCAGAGGAGACUCCUACAGGUUCGUCUCCUUCAGAAGCUCCAUUCUCAGUGCUCCAUCUGCUCAGUUUUUUAACGGCAGCGUCUCCAUAUCUGCUGUCCACCAUCAUACUGGGG